rnacentral:rRNA from 1 species
UACGGGGGGAGCAAGCGUUGUUCGGAUUUACUGGGCGUAAAGGGCGCGUAGGCGGCCACCGCAAGUCGGUUGUGAAAUCUCCGGGCUUAACCCGGAAAGGUCAAUCGAUACUGCGGGGCUAGAGUGCAGAAGGGGCAACUGGAAUUCUCGGUGUAGCGGUGAAAUGCGUAGAUAUCAGGAGGAACACCGGUGGCGAAGGCGGGUCUCUGGGCAGUAACUGACGCUGAGGAGCGAAAGCGUGGGGAGCAAACAGG